rnacentral:rRNA from 1 species
GACGAACGCUGGCGGCGUGCUUAACACAUGCAAGUCGAACGAUGAAGCCGGAGCUUGCUCUGGUGAAUUAGUGGCGAACGGGUGAGUAACACGUGAGUAACCUGCCCUUGACUCUGGGAUAACUGCGGGAAACUGUAGCUAAUACCGGAUACGACCCUCGGAGGCAUCUCCUGGGGGUGGAAAGAAUUUCGGUCAAGGAUGGACUCGCGGCCUAUCAGCUAGUUGGUGUGGUAAAGGCGCACCAAGGCGACGACGGGUAGCCGGCCUGAGAGGGUGACCGGCCACACUGGGACAGAGACACUGCCCAUACUCCUACGGGGUGCAGCAGUGGGGAAUAUUGCACAAUGGGCACAAGCCUGAUGCAGCAACGCCGCGUGAGGGAUGACGGCCUUCGGGUUGUAAACCUCUUUUAGUAGGGAAGAAGCGAAAGUGACGGUACCUGCAGAAAAAGCACCGGCUAACUACGUGCCAGCCGCCGCAGUAA